GUGGGCUAUGGGGACAUGUACCCCGUGACCAUCGGAGGUAAAAUUGUUGGAUCUCUUUGCGCCAUCGCCGGUGUGUUGACCAUCGCACUACCAGUACCGGUCAUCGUGUCCAAU
rfam:Xiphophorus maculatus strain JP 163 A Contig644.3, whole genome shotgun sequence.